GUUCAUCAAAAGAAAUCUGCAAGGGCCGGGUCAAGGGUCGGGUCUUGGAGCGGUUUUUCCGAUACCUAUGCAGGAUGUCUGAAAACGUAGCUAUAAAAACCCAAACGGUGAUCAGCCAUUGGCACCGCUUGAGUCAUGAGUAAUCCCUCCGAUAGACUUCUCGAAACACCCAUCUUUUGUUAAGGUUUUGGUGUCAUGGCUUCGUUGUCUCGAAAUACCGAGAUUUGCCUCUAUUCUUCCCUCUCUGUUGUGCUUCCCUUUCAAUAGCCGCCGCCCCACUUCACCGGAGAACCGACAAACACCCCCUUCAACAACCGCAAGCAUCCCCGACGACACAACCACCGCAAAACCCAGUUUGCAAGAGGUGAUCCCCUACAGUGUCAAGGUGAAUGCUCCUAAUGGUGUUGAUGUUAAUGUCUCACCAAAGCAAGCUUGUGUUCAGUGCUAAGAACAAGACACAGGCUUUUGAGGUCACUCUCACUACAGUUGGGUAUGGUGGUUCUCAGAGUUUUGGGUCCAUUGAGUGGAGUGAUGGAAGUUACCGUGUGAAGAGCCCAAUUGCUGUGAGAUUUGGCAGUGGAUCCUCAUCAUCAUCCAUGUGAAUUGCACUCAAGAAUCAAGAUUGUUGCUGUGGAAACACGUCUUACACAGGUUAUGGGUUCAACGUCAGCCUCUUUGGAAUUUUAAUUUUAGCCUAUUGUACAAAGUACUACAAACUACAAAAUAUUUAUUAUGUAUGGUGGUAUUCUCAAUGAUGUUUCAUACAGUUGUACUCUAGAUUAAUCUGAAAUAGUUGUUGAAGGUCUUAUAAUAAUUUAUGGGGUUAAAAUAGAAUCUUGCA